rnacentral:rRNA from 1 species
UACGUAGGUGGCAAGCGUUGUCCGGAUUUACUGGGCGUAAAGAGCGCGCAGGCGGUCGCUUAAGUCGAGUGCGAAAGCCCCCGGCUCAACUGGGGAGGGUCACUUGAUACUGGUCGACUCGAAGGCAGGAGAGGGAAGUGGAAUUCCCGGUGUAGUGGUGAAAUGCGUAGAUAUCGGGAGGAACACCAGUGGCGAAGGCGACUUCCUGGCCUGUUCUUGACGCUGAGGCGCGAAAGCUAGGGUAGCAAACGGG